GUGUGUGUGUGUGUGUGUGUGUAUGUCAGUGUGUCUGUGUGUGUAUGUCAGUAUGUCUGUCAUAGACACAGACAUACUUACAUACAUACACAAACAGACAU